rnacentral:rRNA from 1 species
CCUACGGGGGGCAGCAGUGGGGAAUAUUGGACAAUGGGGGCAACCCUGAUCCAGCAAUUCUGUGUGCACGAUGAAGGUUUUCGGAUUGUAAAGUGCUUUCAGCAGGGAAGAAAAAAAUGACGGUACCUGCAGAAGAAGCGACGGCUAAAUACGUGCCAGCAGCCGCGGUAAUACGUAUGUCGCAAGCGUUAUCCGGAAUUAUUGGGCAUAAAGGGCAUCUAGGCGGCCAGAUAAGUCUGGGGUGAAAACUUGCGGCUCAACCGCAAGCCUGCCCUGGAAACUAUGUGGCUAGAGUACUGGAGAGGUGGACGGAACUGCACGAGUAGAGGUGAAAUUCGUAGAUAUGUGCAGGAAUGCCGAUGAUGAAGAUAGUUCACUGGACGGUAACUGACGCUGAAGUGCGAAAGCUAGGGGAGCAAACAGG